AUCGAUGAAGAACGCAGCGAAAUGCGAUAAGUAAUGUGAAUUGCAGAAUUCAGUGAAUCAUCGAAUCUUUGAACGCACCUUGCGCCCUUUGGCUAUUCCGAAGGGCAUGCCUGUUUGAGUAUCAUGAACACCUCAACUCUCAUGGCUUGCCAUGAUGAGCUUGGACUUUGGGGGUCUUGCUGGCCUAUGGUCGGCUCCUCUCAAAUGAAUCAGCUUUCCAGUGUUUGGUGGGAUCACAGGUGUGAUAACUAUCUACGCUUGUGGCUUUCCAUCAGGUAACCUUCAACGAUGGAGGUUCGCUGGGGCUCACAAAUGUCUCUCCUCAGCGAGGACAGCUUUUUGAACGUUUGAUCUCAAAUCAGGUAGGACUACCCGCUGAACUUAAGCAUAUCAAUAAGCGGAGGAAAAGAAACUAACAAGGAUUCCCCUAGUAACUGCGAGUGAAGCGGGAAGAGCUCAAAUUUAAAAUCUGGCGUGCCUCUGGUCGUCCGAGUUGUAGUCUGGAGAAGCGUUUUCCGUGUUGGACCGUGUACAAGUCUCUUGGAACAGGGCGUCAUAGAGGGUGAGAAUCCCGUCUUUGACACGGACUACCAAUGCUUUGUGAUGCGCUCUCAAAGAGUCGAGUUGUUUGGGAAUGCAGCUCAAAAUGGGUGGUAAAUUCCAUCUAAAGCUAAAUAUAGGCGAGAGACCGAUAGCGAACAAGUACCGUGAGGGAAAGAUGAAAAGCACUUUGGAAAGAGAGUUAAACAGUACGUGAAAUUGCUGAAAGGGAAACGCUUGAAGUCAGUCAUGUCUGCCAGGACUCAGCCUCGCUUCUGCUUGGUGUACUUUCUGGUUUGAUGGGCCAACAUCAAUUUUGACCGCUGGAGAAAGGCUUUGGGAAUGUGGCACCUUCGGGUGUGUUAUAGCCCUUUGUUGUAUACAGCGGUUGGGAUUGAGGACUGCAGCACGCCUUUAUGGCCGGGGUUUGCCCACGUACGUGCUUAGGAUGUUGGCAUAAUGGCUUUAAGCGACCCGUCUUGAAACACGG
rnacentral:rRNA from 1 species